AAUCAACGCUGGCGGCGUGCCUAACACAUGCAAGUCGAACGCGAAAGGGGACUUCGGUUCCUGAGUAGAGUGCGUACGGGUGAGUAACGCGUGGGUCAUCUGCCCUCGGGUGGGGAAUAACUAAUCGAAAGGUUAGCUAAUACCGCAUAACACAGUGAUGUCAAAGCAGCAAAUGUGCCUGAGGAGGAGCCUGCGUCUGAUUAGGUAGUUGGUGGGGUAACGGCCUACCAAGCCUGCGAUCAGUAGCUGGUCUGAGAGGACGGCCAGCC
rnacentral:rRNA from 1 species